CAAAGACAUUCUGUCAUUUUCAUUGUCAUAUAUUCUUUUCUUAUUUUUUAAACUGUAUUAAAAAUUUGAUUUAUGCCUAUCAAUUAUUGAAGAUGUUUUCUCUUUCUACCUAAGGUCAAGUUGAGAGAGAAAUUCCCCUUGGAGGUUUCUGUUGAAAUUUCCACCUAUUCUGGAUAUGAGAUUUCUCCCUUGACCUCUGUACUUCUUGAGGUCAUUAAAAUCUAAGCUUGGCUUUCUUUGGUUUGGCAAACACCCUCAGCAUUUUAAAUAUGUUGUUCCAAUGUCAUCUGUUCUUAAUGGUUUCUGAUGUCACAUCCACCAUCAUUUGAAUCAUUGUUCCACCACAGCUCCACAGCAGCCUUGAAAAUAAACAGCAUUACAACUACAGUAGCUGUGAAUCCAGCAGCCAAGCAGCCACUGGAGGGGGACAUGGAUGAAUCUGGAGAACAUCAUUCUCAGCAAACUGACACAAGAACAGAAAAUGAAAUACCGCAUAUUCUCACUCAUAGGUAGGUGAUGAAUAAUGAGAACAUAUGGACACAGGGAGGGAAGCACUACACACUGGGGUCUAUUGAGGGGG
rnacentral:lncRNA from 1 species